AUUGUGAGACCAUGGACGACCUGUAAUGAAAUCCAUGUUAAACAUCUCCCACUUCCACAUGGGCAUGACUAUCUCUUGAUACAUUCCACCAAGCCUCAAAUGUUCAACCUUGACCUGCUAAUAAAUCAUAUACUUAACCACAAAGUUAACCAUAUCUCUCUUUAGAUUGUUCCACAAAUAUAUUUCCUUCAAGUAAUGGUUCAUCUUAGUCACACCCAAAUGAACAG
rnacentral:lncRNA from 1 species